rnacentral:lncRNA from 1 species
UCAGAGCCAAUGGAAGCCCUUUGCAUUUCUCCACAACCUAUUAAACCCAGGACUCCAUUAACAAAGGGUUCACAUAUUUAUUGAUUAAACAAACAAGAAACAAGUUAUACCUGUUUGAUCAGAUUCUCAUCAGAUCCAGGAGGUAUUGAGGUUGUUCCGAAAGCAGUGUGACAGAAAANGAAUUAACUUUCUUGUAUAUAUAUAUAUAUUAUAUAUAUACCUUUCUUCUUUCAAAAGGGUGAGAAGAUUUUUGUUUGAGAGCUCGAGAAUAAUGGCAAAAGCUUCUUCAUCAUCGAUGUCAUGAAGCUCAGUCCAUAUAUUGAUAAGAACAUCUAGAGGGAUCUUUUUGUCUUCUGGGAAAGAACCCAAAUCAAGAAAGCAGUUUCUCACUUUUUCUGAGAGGUAAUCGAUGCUGAGUUUCAUCCUGUUGAGCAACUCGAUUUCAUGGGAAUCGCAUAUUGGUUGGGCUCUUGAUAAUCUGCUGUUGGCACCUCUCCAGUACAUUUCAGGCUGAUCUCUUAGUGAAGCUCCGAUCACUUUCAGAGCCAAUGGAAGCCCUUUGCAUUUCUCCACAACCUAUUAAACCCAGGACUCCAUUAACAAAGGGUUCACAUAUUUAUUGAUUAAACAAACAAGAAACAAGUUAUACCUGUUUGAUCAGAUUCUCAUCAGAUCCAGGAGGUAUUGAGGUUGUUCCGAAAGCAGUGUGACAGAAAAGGGAGAUUGCUUCUUCUUCUCUUAGCAAUUCUAACUCAUAGGUUGAGUUGAGAACUUUAGAUGGAAACUUGAUGCGCGAAACCACAAGAGUUUUGCAACCAGGAACAUUGAAG